GGACUACCGGGGUAUCUAAUCCUGUUUGCUCCCCACGCUUUCGUGUCUCAGCGUCAGUACUCGUCCAGUUGGCCGCCUUCGCCACAGGUAUUCCUCUCGAUAUCUACGAAUUUCACCUCUACACCGAGAAUUCUACCAACCUCUCCGGUACUCAAGCCGCACAGUAUCGAGUGCACUUCCUGGGUUGAGCCCAGGGCUUUCACAUCCGACUUAUGCGGCCGCCUACACACGCUUUACGCCCAGUAAUUCCGAACAACGUUUGCACCCUCUGUCUUACCGCGGCGGCUGGCAC
rnacentral:rRNA from 1 species